rnacentral:rRNA from 1 species
GACGAACGCUGGCGGCGUGCUUAACACAUGCAAGUCGAACGGAAAGGCCCUGCCUUUGUGGGGUGCUCGAGUGGCGAACGGGUGAGUAACACGUGAGUAACCUGCCCUUGACUUUGGGAUAACUUCAGGAAACUGGGGCUAAUACCGGAUAGGAGCUCCUGCUGCAGGGGGGGGGUUGGAAAGUUUCGGCGGUUGGGGAUGGACUCGCGGCUUAUCAGCUUGUUGGUGGGGUAGUGGCUUACCAAGGCUUUGACGGGUAGCCGGCCUGAGAGGGUGACCGGCCACAUUGGGACUGAGAUGCGGCCCAGACUCCUACGGGAGGCAGCAGUGGGGAAUACUGCACAAUGGGCGGAAGCCUGAUGCAGCAACGCCGCGUGCGGGAUGACGGCCUUCGGGUUGUAAACCGCUUUCGCCUGUGACGAAGCGUGAGUGACGGUAAUGGGUAAAGAAGCACCGGCUAACUACGUG